UACAAUUUAGCGCUCUAUUC
rnacentral:miRNA from 1 species